GACAGCUGUGUGAGGGAAGGGGCUGAGGGACGGCAGAGGAACGUCGCCGCGCCGCGCCGCGCUGACCCGCGGGAAGAGGAAAGCCGCGGGCGCGGCCGCGCUGUCUUUCCGGUUCAGUUUUCACUUUCUGUUUUUUUCACCCCUCCGCCGCCCGCCCUCUCCUUCCCUCCCUGGGGUUGCCUUCCCCUUCCUGGGGGCCGGCGUUGGGCUGCGGUCCCGCAAUGCCGCCCCGUUUCUCCUGACCCCCCUUCCAGCCCGCCCGGCCCCGGGACCGCGGAGCCGCGCGGGGAGGGCCGGGCGGGCGUUAUGGCGUGAGGGGACGGAGCGGAGCGGAGAGAGCCCCGAGCAUGGGCGAACGGCGGGACGAGGCGGCCCGGAGGCCUGGAGCCGCCAAAGGGUUCACAGAGAAUGUGUGGUAGAGCUCUGUCGCUGCAUCAAGCAGAGCAAGAAAAUGAAAGAAAGAAAGUCAAUGCUGAAAGAAGAGCUUCUAUAAUGAGAGCAAAAGGAAUGUCAUGAAAUAAAACGAAGAACGGAUUCAACCCUGUUUCAGGAUUUCUCAAUGACAAAAGGACUGGCUGAUUGGAGGAAUGUAGCUACAGUUUUUCAGGCAGGUAAUGAUCUGCCCAAUUUGUCCAGCCACAAUCCUUUUUCUUUUUUUCCCCUUUUUCUAAAUGGAAAGCAUGUGGUGAAACAUCAUGUAGCAAAGAUAAGCCUUUGCCGUCAGUGGGUCUUGAGUUGCUGUGCAUGCUUUUACAGCUCUCCCUCAGCAUUGGGUCUGAUUGUUUUAGGCCAUCGUGACUACUGGUUUUGUAAAGAAAGGGACGUUUUAGUUGUCUGAAUGCUAAAAUAGUUAAGGUAGUGCUAGAUUUGGGAAGAGUCAACACAGACACCUGCAGAUGAGUGACUCCAGAAAGUGGCAACCCAACAGAAGAGGAGAGCUGCAGAAGGAGGAGGCUUUGAGGAGCAUCUGUGAAGAUGAAAGACAGCAACGUGAUGGAUUAAGGAGGGAAAGCCUUCAGUAACCACGUCUUCAAUUAUGUGAGCAGCUGAAGGUAACAGGAAGGAGGUUAAAAAAUCAAAGAAAUGUUACUUGGAAGGUUUCUCCAGAGCAGGUUUCCUGCUCUGAGUAGAUUGUCACCAACAUCAGUAUGGGGCAUCUCUGGCUUUGCCCAUCCAAGAAUGGGCACUCCCAUGUCUCUGUGACCUGUCCAAAGGCCGUGUCACCCUACAGGGUAAAAAAAUUCAAGCUCUAGAAAGGUUGUUGAUCCUCUGGGCAGAGCAGUGUCUCAUCUGAGAGGGUACCCUGCAUCAUCUGACUCUGAAAAGAUGAUAAAAAUAAAUGUUGUCUACCUGGAUAACUGCAUUUCCCUGCGUUUCUAGAGGGAAUUUUAAAUAUAGCCCAGCACCUGUAUUUUUUCCAGCUUACCAGCAACCACUCUGAGUGUUUUAGGUACAUCAAACCAAGAAACUGCAAAAGAUAGCACAGCUCUAUAGUUAGAAGGCUCUUCUGUGCAAGCCAGCCACACUCUUUCUAAGAAUACAGCAUACAAUGCAGAGAGGUGGUGUCUUUCUCCUCUUUCUCCCUAAUACUCAUGCUGCCUGUGAAGGUUUGUGGCUUGAGGGCUUCCUGAGGAGGAGCUGGUAUCUUCGUAUUUAAUAGAUUCAUUUUUUCCCCACAAAUCUGACAGGACUUUUGAGCCCAUCUGUAGCAUCCUGCAGUGCAACCUUUGGAAAAUGCUGUAUGUUAUUGGAACCCCACCCUUCCACCCUACAAAUGUGAGGUUGUAACCAUUGUCUGCGUCUUUGGGUGUGAGGAAUAGGAAGGAGGAAAGCAAGAAAGUGAAAGAAAAAGAAGCAGCAAGGCUGCAAAUGUGGCUGAUGCAGCAGGAGCAGCAGGAACAAGGUGCUCAUCUGGUGUAGGAGAUUGUGGUUUGAGAUUGAAAAGCUUUGAAGAACACACAUUAAAACACAAGAAAACCCUGAGAGGCUCAAAUAAACCGAAUCAAUUCCCGCUUCAGUGCCAUGCUAACCAUCCCA
rnacentral:lncRNA from 1 species